rnacentral:rRNA from 1 species
AUUGAACGCUGGCGGCAGGCCUAACACAUGCAAGUCGAGCGGAUGAAGGGAGCUUGCUCCUGGAUUCAGCGGCGGACGGGUGAGUAAUGCCUAGGAAUCUGCCUGGUAGUGGGGGAUAACGUCCGGAAACGGGCGCUAAUACCGCAUACGUCCUGAGGGAGAUAGUGGGGGAUCUUCGGACCUCACGCUAUCAGAUGAGCCUAGGUCGGAUUAGCUAGUUGGUGGGGUAAAGGCCUACCAAGGCGACGCUCCGUAACUGGUCUGAGAGGAUGAUCAGUCACACUGGAACUGAGACACGGUCCAGACUCCUACGGGAGGCAGCAGUGGGGAAUAUUGGACGAUGGGCGAAAGCCUGAUACAGCCAUGCCGCGUGUGGGAAGAAGGUCGUCGGAUUGUAAAGCACUUUAAGUUGGGAGGAAGGGCAGUAAGUUAAUACCUUGCUGUUUUGACGUUACCAACAGAAUAAGCACCGGCUAACUUCGUG